GGGUAUAUAGCUCAGUGAUAGAGUGCUUAGCAUGCAUGAGGUCCUGGGUUCAAUCCCCAGUACCUCCA
rnacentral:tRNA from 1 species